rnacentral:rRNA from 1 species
GACAGAGGGUGCAAACGUUGCUCGGAAUUACUGGGCGUAAAGCGCGUGUAGGCUGACCGGAAAGUCGGGCGUGAAAUCCCUGGGCUCAACCCAGGAACUGCACUCGAAACUCCCGGUCUUGAGUGGUGGAGAGGGAAGUGGAAUUCCUGGUGUAGAGGUGAAAUUCGUAGAUAUCUGAAGGAACACCGGUGGCGAAGGCGGCAUCCUGGACCGACACUGACGCUGAGGAGCGAAAGCCAGGGGAGCAAAGCGGG